CGCAAGGUCAUGGGUGAUAUCCUACGUGCUAAGGAGUUUUGACUGGUACCUGCUCUGCAACGACGAAAAUCCAGCGUUGCUUUGCAGCAGAAGGACAACUCGCAAGUCAGAAACAUUGUGCGGAAAUUGGAAAGUUCUUCUGCACACCCAGACUUUCGAAAAGGUAACAUAUGAUGCAGCCCAGGAUGCGUGCCGCAAGAACGUUGGGUUUUUCCUGCCAAGCGAAGCGCUAUGGAAUACGGUAUUGGGUGAAAUGAAGACAGGCACUCCCGAGUGCAGAGAACUUGCCGCAACCUUUGACAAAAUCCCCCUCUGGUUCACAAGGCAUGGGAAAGAAAGACACUUUGCGAAGUAUUCAUCGGUUUGUGUCGGAGCACGUCUGCCAGGCGGUGCAAUCUCCAGCCGCGGUAUUCGCCGAGAUGAAGGCAUCCGCUAUGUUGAUGAGAGCGGUCGUGUCAAGUGCCACCACGGUUACAGGACAUCACUGCGUGAGAGCAUACCCGCCAAGCCAUAUAAGGGUG